UUUUGGACUCGGCUUGGAGUGAGGGCCGGAGCCCCACCCGCCGGCGGCCGCCCUUCGUCGUCGCCGAGGCCUUAGGCCGGGAGGCCGGGAGGCGGGCCGCCGCGCUCGCUUGGUGACCUUGAGCUAUGCGUCUCCGCUGCGGGAGCCUCGGGGUCCCCGCUCCGGCGGGCGGCCCGCAGUCCCCACGCCGCGGAGUUGUUGCGAGAGUCCGACAAAGUGAGGCCCGUGGGGGCGGCCGGUGCCCUGAAAGCGCGACUCAAAAUGGAGCUGUUUGCAUUGCGGUGAUCGGACACCUCCUAAGGACGCUCGGGAGCCCCGUGGGUCCGGGCCCGCGUGGCCCCAUCCCCCGCCCGCGACCGUGUGAGCGCAGGAAGGGACGGUCUAAAAAGUGUAGUCCUCUGAAGCUCCUUAAAAUGGAUGCCACUCGCCCAGUUAAACAAACCACAAGUGCCCCCUCCCCGGGCAGGCUUGGAAUCUGCAUGAUAAACGUCCUUCUGCAUCUGCAGUGGGCUCCACAACACAGGACUUGAACUCAUUAUCCUGAGAUCAAGAGAGGGACACUGAACCAACGGAGCCACCCAGGCGGAGAACUAAGGAAGUGCUUUCCAGGCAGAAGGACAACACGUGGAAAAGUCUGAAGGAACUUGGCUUAUCCUAAAUAAUGUUAGGCCUGCCAUUGAGUCUGGAGUGUAAUAGGAAUUAAAGCCCAGUGAGCCUGGUGAGGCCCUAACCGGCCAGAUCCUGCUGGGUCUGAUAGUCCAGGUUGAGAUUAUUGGAUUUACUCUGAGAACAACAGGAAGCCAUUGAAAGAUUUAUAAGCAGGAGAGGGAUUCGGGGUUUCCUUUUGUGAAGGAUUAUUCUGGCACAGUGUGAGAAUGGAUUAGGGCAAACCAGAAUGACAGUGGAGAGACCCAUCAAGAGGUUAUACAGUAAUUCAAAUGAGAAGACCCAAUAUCUUGAUCUCAUGUGUCUUCGGCUGGGAUGAAGAGAAAAUAGAUUCAAAUAAUUCUCCAAAGAUAUUUAGGAGAUCAGAUCUACAGAUCUUGAUGGAUGACUGGAUGAGGGAAGGAGGAGUCAAGCCUCGGUUUCCAGCUUGAGCAGCUGUGUGGAUGGAAGUGCUAGUGCUGCCUCCCUCCCUUCCAGCUUGGACCCAUCGGCCCACAUGCAUCACAACAUCCUGGAAUCAUCUGUUACAUGGCUGUGUCUCCUGCAGAAGGCCAUCUCCUGGAAGGCAACCAGGGCCCUGUUCAUCUUCCUAGAUCUCAGCAGCAGUCUAGGCACAGAACUGGCAGCAGUAAACAAGUGUGGACUUUUCUUAGUACUUCUGUUCCUUUUUUUUUUAAGCUCUUAUUUGAGAGAGAGACACAGUUGGGGGGAAGCAGGCUCCCCGCUGAGCGGGAGCCCAGUGCGGGACUGGAUCCCAGGGCUCUGGGAUCAUGACCUGAGCCAAAGGCAGAUGCUUAACCUGGUGAGCCACCCAGGCACCCCUACAUCUUUCUGUCUCCUAUAGGGGCCCCUCUAUCUUCUGAUCACUCAGGUUCAAAGUCUUACAGGAAUCCGGGCUUUCUCUCUAUCUCAUCCACCAUAGGCCAUCCGUCAAAGUCCAGGGUAUGCUUCCCCCAAAACAUCUUUCGAAUCUCCUACCACCCUGUUCUGGGUCUUGACAAGUCCUAACACCUGUGAAGUGAUUAGAAGAGUGCCUGGGCCUCACCUGGGUGGUUCAGUAGGUUGAGUAUCCAACUCUCAAUUUUGCUCUCAGGUCAUGACCUCAGGCUCCUGGGAUCAAGCCCCACGUUGGGCUCUGCGGUCAGCAGGGCGUCUUCUUAAGAUUCUCUGUCCCUCCCUCACUCCUCUAAAAUAAAUAAAUCCGAGGGUGCCUCGGUGGCCCAGCUGGCUGAAAUGAACAUCUGCCUUCCACUCAGGUCAUGAUCUCAGGGUCCUGGGAUCAAACCCCACGUCGGGCUUUCUGCUCAGCGGGGAGUCUGUUUCUCCCCCUCCUUCUCCCUUUGUGUUCUCCCUCUCUCCAAUAAGUAAAAUUUUAAAAUAAUCAACCGAUCAAUCAAUCUUUAAAAAAACAGUGGGGGGAUCCCUGGGUGGCACAGUGGUUUAGCGCCUUCCUUUGGCCCAGGGCGUGAUCCUGGAGACCCGGGAUCGAUCCCACGUCGGGCUCCCGGUGCAUGGAGCCUGCUUCUCCCUCCGCCUAUGUCUCUGCUUCUCUCUCUCUCUCUCUCUCUCUCUCUCUGUGUGUGUGUGUGACUAUCAUAAAUAAAUAAAUAAUUAAAAAUAAAAAAUAAGAAAACGGCCAGAGUAAGGAGUAUGUAAGUGUUGGCUAUGAUCAAGGACUCUUCCCUGGCCUUCCUGUGUCCUGCCUCUUCCACCCAGGCCCUGCUGCUGAUGGUAACCAGGGUGCUGUCUCUCAAGCCCAACUCUGAUGGUGUUUUUCCCUGGCUUCAGUGCUCUCAAGAUCAAACCCUAAAUCUUCGAUGUGGUCUACAAGGGUCCAUAUGGUCUAACCUCCUACUGUCUCUGCAGCUUUGCCUUCACCUUCAAAGGCUCUCUGUUGCCAUUGGGAUGAAGGGCAAGCUCAGGUCUUUCACCAUCUGGCCUCCACUUCCUCACCGGCCUCAGCUGUCAUACACAAUGUCCUCGUCAUGUGUGCUUGUCUUGGCUCUCCUCUGGGCUUCCUCCCUCCUUGUGCCAGUUCAUGUCCUUCGUCCCCAGGGCCCCACUUACCAAAAGCUGAUCUCAUAAGUUCCGAGUCCUCCUCCCUCAGGAGUACCCCAACGCCCACUCUGCAUGUGUCAGAUUCUCUCUGGCAUUGUUGUGAUUUCUGUACACCGCAUUCUUCCUCUAACUGGGGAACAAAUAGAGUGACCAUCUGUUGCUAUGCCUGUCCAGCGUCCUUCCACUGCUCCUUCUCUGGUAACAGCACUCUGAUAAUCCUUUGAGAAGCCUUCCCACCCCCACACUGGAUGAGCAGGUGACUGACUGACUGAUCAGCACAUUUCAUUCCUUUGGCUGCAAUGAUUGGCAGGUGGCUCAAACCCGGCGAGCAGAGGGAAUGAGCAUCAGCCUGACACCUAUGCUGAAACACUGAGGAAGGAGCCCUCUUUUUUCUGGGAUGGCCUGACCAGAAGGGGAGCACCCUGGACUUGCUAAUGGUCAUCUCCGCCACCAUUUGGAGAGAGCUUUCCUGAGAAUAAAGCCAACCUGGUGGGAAAGCAGAGCCGUGAGCUGAGAGAGACCUAUUUCAGUUAGAACUGACGAGGCCAAAAAAAAAAUUAAAAAAAAAUAAAAAAUAAAAUAAAGUUUAAAAAAAAUUAA